rnacentral:lncRNA from 1 species
CUUUUGGUGCUCAGGCGUGCCCUAGAUCAAUAUAAUCAGAAUCGCUGGGGGUUGGGGACCAGGCCUCAGUGUUUUUAAAGCUGUCCAGAUGAUCGUAUGUGCAGUCAGGGUCAAGCACCAGCCCCUUAGAGAUGAGGUAGUACAAGGAAGGAGAGCACAGGCAGCAUCUGUGUUGAUUCCACACUGUUCCUGCCUUCCUCCUGGAGUAGGAAGGAUUCCAUGCUUUCCUUCAGAAAGAAACCAAAAUCUAUGCAAUAACAAGAGUCAUUGACCCUAAGGCAUUGCAGACUUCUAUCCAAUAGAAUCAGACCCAGUCAUGGUUCAAAGACUUGAGGAAACGGCAGGACUUUUGGAUAAUCUUCUCAAGCCCAGUGGAGGCUUUGCCUUGGGUGAUGGAUGGUGAGGAGCCACGUCAGUGGUUGAAUCAUUGCAUUAACACGUCAAGGCUCAGGCUUUCUAGCUGGCCAUUGGAACUGAGGAUGUCAUUAGUCUCUUAGCAAGGUUAACUUUGGGUAAUACGAAGAAAAGGGAUUAUGAACUCUUGGAAUCAGCAUUCACCUUCUUAGAGAAAGAAAAGAAGGCGAAGACGAAAAAGAGUGCCUCCGAUUCACGUUAGAGCUUUGAGUCCAAGAAUUGUAAACAUGUAUAGGCUGCCAAAUCUCACUCUAAAUAUAUUCCAAUGAUCUCAUGUUUUCAUAUGCAGUGGAAUAAAAAGAGGCAUUUUUAUUCAUUUUGGAUGACAGCAUCUUGAGCUUUUAUGGGAGUGUUGUAGGAGUAUUAGUUUAACCAAGAGCUGCAAUCAAUAUUUCAACCAUUCAGAGUCACCACAACAGGCACGUUAGACACUGAAUGACAAUUAUCUUGUCAUUGCAAGUUGGACCCUCAAACGUGUUCCCAAAUAUUGAUGGCAAAUCCCCCACCCCCAGGGGGAAAAUCCCCCAUCAAAGAUCCUCUGAGGAGAGCCAAGCGAGGCACUGGAGAGAGCAGUGCACAUAUUUCGAGGUGAUUAACAUUUCGGUUUUGGCCUCCUCAUCUGCAAGGGCUUCGUCUGUUACUCGUUUUCUCUUUGGCCAAAGAGACCACAUCCAGUGUCCCGAAGGAGAAGGCUGGAAAUUUUUCGGAAAGCCCUUUUAGGAGAAGCCCAGUGAGAGGGCAAGCAAAGCUUCAUUCCUUUUAUGGCCAAGAUCUCACAGUGUGAGACACAAAAAAGAGAGCAAGAGCAAGAGAGCUGGAGAGCAUGUUGUCUCUGUUCCUCUGCUCCCGGGGCUGUGGCGUCCACAUGGUCUCCAACCUUGAGCUGAACACAGUUGAUACAAAAACCAGGGACCCUUUCAGUGGCCCCUGGGGUGACGGGAGAGUCCAGCACCCCACUUCCCCUCACCCUCGGGGUUAGCCUUCACCCCGCUCUGGCAUCUUCGUCCCAGCCCUGCGUGCACAUAAAUCAAGCAGCAGGGUAGCUCGGAAACAUGACGAAUACCUUGGCUGGCUCCUGCUUGAAAAGACAAGGGGGGAGAAGAGGGAUUCUAAAGUAACCCGGCCUUGACUGGAAACGCAGCCAGAAUUUAGUGUUCCUGGAGCUGGCCCCAGCUGCUCAGACAGGAGCUGCCAGGGGAGACUUCCCUGGGGGCAGCCCCAGCCCUCCACGCUCUGGAGGAGGAAAAAGCUUUGGUGUCUGUCAAGAACAUUAUUCAAAAAUUCUUGGACACUUCUAAGCCCUUUCUGUGAGCAUGGAGACAGGGGGUUGAGGGAAGCUUUGCCUAGGCUGGGAUGGCACUUGGGUAUAGCCCCAGGUUUGAGUGCUGCUGUAUUCAUGGACAGUGCCCCAGAGGAAGAAGCACCGUGGGGACUCUCACUGCAAAGAAGACAGACCAUUAUCAACACUCCUCCCCUCUGUUCCCCAAAGUCCCCUCCUGACCGCAGCAUCAAUCUUCCACGCUGGCCGGCCGGAGGUGGUGCCUCUGGCAGAUUUAAAUGAGAGCAUGAAGGUGGGACCUCCAUUACUGGAUUAGUGUCCUUAUAAGAAGAGGAAGAGACCAGAGCUCACUCUCCCCACCACGUGAGGAUACAGUGAGAAGGUGGCUGUCUGCAAGCCAAGAGCCCUCACCCAAACAGAAUCUGCUGGUAUCUUGAUGUUGGAUUUUCUAGCCUCCAGGACUGUGAGAAAUAAAUGUGUGUUGUUUAAACCACCCAGUCUAUGGUAUUUUGUUAUAGUAGCUAGGGCUGACUACAACUGAAGUAGGCUAGAAGGAACUCUGUUAUCAUGAGCUCCAGGGAUGAGCUGUCUAUACACUUGUGCUGCAUCAGACAUGAAAGAGGAGUGGUGUGAGACUUGCUUUUCUGUGCAUCCUGUUUCAGAGCAAUAUAAAUUCAGUUCCUCUUAUCUUCCAGAAUCUUCUAGCACUUCUGGAAUCUAUAACAUAUGUCUGUAUGGAUAAUAGCACCUCUGGAAUUUGGGGACAAGGUCAAAGGGUGUCGGGAUUUGAAGGGGAAGCCAUAAGAAUCUUCACAAUAUAAAUUGAGAUUAAACACUUGCAGAUGCAACCCAUCCUUGGGGUGGUUUUGCAAACAUAUUGCUGAGGAUUUCAUGGUUUGCUACAUCAAGAUUAGAUACCCAAAGUUUAUUGGAAGAUUAAAUUACAAAAAGUAAUGACAAGGUAAGUUGUAAUAAGUCAUGUUAUUUGAUGAGAAGUAAAGAUAAUUAAAGGCAUGAAAGAGUCUGUAAGGAGCCUAGAAGAAGAGAGGUGAAGAGUAAGAAUCUAGCUAGUGUUUCCCCAGGGGUGUCAGGGAAUGGCAAAAAUGUUCCAGACUGUACCAACGAUCUGAGCCACACACUCCUGAAGACUUCUUUUACCCUGAUUCCUGUUUAACAAGUAGUUUUCUAAAUGCUAAUUCAGUUUUUCUGGUACACAGCAGAAAGGGGUCCCCUGCAUAGUAAUUAGAAAGGUGUGUCUCUGAUGGUACAUUACUUCAACUGGCAUGCUGGUUUUCCCGUCAGUCUACUAUGGGAGUUUGGUUGGCAAGAGUCCAUUCCUUGAGGCCUGGUCAACGUUGUGUGGGCUGAUUACAACAUGGGGUUUCUGAAACUUAAAAGUUAAGGGCCCGAUCUGGACCCAGGCCUCUACCAAGCCACAGAUGACCUUUGAGGCUCCGCUUGAUCAGGCAGCCAGCCAUGGAACAUCAUCAUGUGGCAACUCCACACCCACAGCUAUCAUGGCUCCCACUUGCGGACACAUUACUUUGUAUGUAUUUUGUCUUUCUUAAACAACUCCUUGCUCCCAUUUCUUCUCCCUCAAAUUGUGAGAUUUUCUGCUGCAGGGCCUUGUCUCUCCUCUUUCAUACAUUAAAUGUGUAAGAUCUUGACCACAGGGACACUCAAUAUAUUGAAUGACUUUGUUGGCAAAGAUAUUUGAAAAGAUGAUAGGUGCAAAUAUAAUUUAUUUAUCUUCUUUGGAAUCCAGCUGUAAAAUACAUAGUUAAAAUAGAAGCUAAAAUGUUCUGUUGUUUGAUCUUCAGCUUCUGUCUAAAUUGAAUUGACUCUCCAUCCCAUCCUACUUCCUUAGAGACAGACAAGAAACUCCUGUCACCAUGCUUUUCUGUACUCUGUCCUACGACUUUGCUUCCAUUUAAUUUGUCCUCUACUUGUCAUUAAGAUGUUAUUUGGGGCUGAUUAGAGUUUGCACCUGUUUCAGUUUAUUCCCAAUUAUAUAGUUAUAGGUAAUCAUUAUAGCCAGCCACCAUUAUGGAACUACAAACCUCUCAAUCAUCCUAUUACAGAAAAUUUGCUGAAUUGGAAAGUCAUGGUAACAGGCCAGGCAUGGUGGCACACACCUGUAGUCCCUGCACUCGAGUGGCUGAGGCAAGAGGAUUACUUG